GCCGGGUGUGGUGGCGGGCGCCUGUAAUCCCAGCUACCUGGGAGGCUGAGGCAGGAGAAUUGCUUGAACCCAGGAGGUGGAGGUUGCAGUAAGCUGAGAUUGCACUACUGCACUCCAGCCUGGGUGACAGAGCAAGACUCCGUCUUGG
rnacentral:SRP_RNA from 1 species